rnacentral:rRNA from 1 species
GAUGAACGCUAGCUACAGGCUUAACACAUGCAAGUCGAGGGACCGGCGCACGGGUGAGUAACACGUAUCCAACCUGCCCUUUACUCGGGGAUAGCCUUUCGAAAGAAAGAUUAAUACCCGAUAUAAAGGAUGGGGAUGCGUUCCAUUAGGUUGUUGGUGAGGUAACGGCUCACCCAGCCUUCGAUGGAUAGGGGUUAUGAGAGGAAGGUCCCACAAAUUGGAACUAAGAGACGGUCCAAACUCCUACGGGUAGCAGCAGUGAGGAAUAUUAGUCAAUGGGCGCUAGCCUGAACCAGCCAAGUAGCGUGAAGGAUGAUGGUUUAUGGGUCGUAAACUUGUUUUCAAUAAGAAUAUGUAUUAAAUGGAUAAGGAUCGGCUAACUCCGUGACAGCAGCCGCGGUAAUAC